rnacentral:lncRNA from 1 species
CCCCUUAAGCACUUAAACCAUCUGAUGGGGACAAAUGGAGAGGACAGAUGAGGGAGCAGGGUGGAGCGUUUUAGCAGAAUGCUCCUUACCCAGAACCCGCUGCUAUUCUGCAGCCAGCAAGGAUGUGGGGCUAAGAACUAAGGCCAGGGCCUUACAGGAAAAAGGUAAAGGGGGAGGGGUGGGAAUUUAAGCUCAUUUUCUUCCCCAAGUAUCCAAAGGUCUCCUGGAUGGAGAAGAGCACUGGAGUAAAAACCCCAGUACAAACCUUACUGGGGACAGUGGGCAACCUUGUCGGGUUAGUAAAAACAAAUGGUGUGGGCCCUGGAAAAUGAGGGCUGGAGGCUGUGAAUAAAGCAGUGGAUGUGUUUGUUCAGUACACCAACGGGAAGAAGUACCCAGAUGGGAGGAGUACUAGGGGCAGGAGAAAUGCCAGACAGACUCUAGUGCCAGGGCAAGAAGGAAGAUCAUUUUGUUUGCAGAACAGGGAGGGCACAGGGAUGGUGCUAACUUGUUCUUGUGAUGGCUCUGAGCUCCUACCUAACAAUGAGAAAGCUUGCUCCUUCUUCCCUUCCUGGAUGACCCAGGAGCCCUGGGCUGGGAUGCAGUGACCUCAUUUCCAGCCCCUUCCCUUCUGGUGAUGAACCUCCCUAUCUUCACUCAGAAAACAGACUUGGAUUAGAGGCACUGCACAGCCCUUCCAGGAUUCUAAAGGAGGAAGAGUUUCUUUUUCUGUUUCCAAAGCUGCCUGCUGGAAGAGGAUUUCAACAGCCAUCCCAGUCGGAUGCACAGCAGGACCAUGGAAUUUCCCUUCUGCACCAUAGGGACCCACCCUCCACUCUACCACUGUCCAUAAAAACUGAUGGUUUUUUUUUUGAGACAGAGUCUCGCUCUGUUUUCCAGGCUGGAGUGCAGUGGUGCGAUCUUGGCUCAUUGCAAUCUCUGCCUCCUGGGUUCAAGCAAUUCUCUGCUUCAGCCUCCCAAGUAGCUGGGAUUACAGGUGCCUGCCACCACAACUGGCUAAUU